GUGGGGGAUAUUGCGCAAUGGGCGAAAGCCUGACGCAGCCAUGCCGCGUGAAUGAUGAAGGUCUUAGGAUUGUAAAAUUCUUUCACCGGGGACGAUAAUGACGGUACCCGGAGAAGAAGCCCCGGCUAACUUCGUGCCAGCAGCCGCGGUAAUACGAAGGGGGCUAGCGUUGCUCGGAAUUACUGGGCGUAAAGGGCGCGUAGGCGGACAGCUUAGUCAGAGGUGAAAGCCCAGGGCUCAACCUUGGAAUUGCCUUUGAUACUGGCUGUCUUGAGUUUGGGAGAGGUGAGUGGAACUCCGAGUGUAGAGGUGAAAUUCGUAGAUAUUCGGAAGAACACCAGUGGCGAAGGCGACUCACUGGCCCAAUACUGACGCUGAGGCGCGAAAGCGUGGGGAGCAAACAGGAUUAGAUACCCCAGUAGUCC
rnacentral:rRNA from 1 species